rnacentral:lncRNA from 1 species
UUCUAGCCAUGUCAUGCCUAAUCACCUCUCCCCAAUACCUCUUAGGCCUUCCUCUGCCUCGAUGUAUGCCGACCAUCGCCAGCCGCUCACAACUCCUCACCGUGGCAUCAGGACUUCUCUUCCGCACAUGUCCGAACCACGUCAGCCUCGCUUCUCGCAUCUUCUCAUCCACCGGGGCCACCCCCACCUUCUCUCUAAUAACUU